rnacentral:rRNA from 1 species
UGGGGAAUAUUGCACAAUGGGCGCAAGCCUGAUGCAGCCAUGCCGCGUGUGUGAAGAAGGCCUUCGGGUUGUAAAGCACUUUCAACGGGGAGGAAGGCGGUGAGGUUAAUAACCUCAUCGAUUGACGUUACCCGCAGAAGAAGCACCGGCUAACUCCGUGCCAGCAGCCGCGGUAAUACGGAGGGUGCAAGCGUUAAUCGGAAUUACUGGGCGUAAAGCGCACGCAGGCGGUCUGUCAAGUCGGAUGUGAAAUCCCCGGGCUCAACCUGGGAACUGCAUUCGAAACUGGCAGGCUAGAGUCUUGUAGAGGGGGGUAGAAUUCCAGGUGUAGCGGUGAAAUGCGUAGAGAUCUGGAGGAAUACCGGUGGCGAAGGCGGCCCCCUGGACAAAGACUGACGCUCAGGUGCGAAAGCGUGGGGAGCAAACAGG